rnacentral:rRNA from 1 species
UACGUAGGGGGCGAGCGUUGUCCGGAUUUAUUGGGCGUAAAGAGCUCGUAGGCGGCUUAGCAAGUCGGGUGUGAAAACUCCAGGCUCAACCUGGAGACGCCACUCGAGACUGCUAUGGCUAGAGUCCGGUAGGGGACCACGGAAUUCCUGGUGUAGCGGUGAAAUGCGCAGAUAUCAGGAGGAACACCGGUGGCGAAGGCGGUGGUCUGGGCCGGCACUGACGCUGAGGAGCGAAAGCGUGGGGAGCGAACAGG